AGACCUACGGGACGCAGCAGUGAGGAAUAUUGGUCAAUGGGCUUACGCCUGAACCAGCCAAGUCGCGUGAGGGAAGACUGCCCUAUGGGUUGUAAACCUCUUUUGUCAGGGAGCAACGCCGGCUACGUGUAGCCGGACUGAGAGUACCUGAAGAAAAAGCAUCGGCUAACUCCGUGCCAGCAGCCGCGGUAAUACGGAGGAUGCGAGCGUUAUCCGGAUUUACUGGGUGUAAAGGGAGCGUAGACGGUUCUGCAAGUCUGAAGUGAAAGCCCGUGGCUUAACCGCGGAACGGCUUUGGAAACUGU
rnacentral:rRNA from 1 species